GAUGGCUCAGUGGUAGAGCGCUUGCCUUGUAUGCCUGAGGCCCUGGGUUCGAUUCCUCAGCAUCA
rnacentral:tRNA from 1 species